UGGCCUAAAUAAAAAGUCUUGAAAUGGAA
rnacentral:piRNA from 1 species